GAUGAAGAACGUAGCGAAAUGCGAUAAGUAGUGUGAAUUGCAGAAUUCAGUGAAUCAUCGAAUCUUUGAACGCACAUUGCGCCCCUUGGUAUUCCAUGGGGCAUGCUUGUUCGAGCGUCAUUUCAACCCUCAAGCUCUGCUUGGUCUUGGGCCGCGCCGGCGACGGCGGGCCUCAAAAACAGUGGCGGCGCCAUCUGGUUCCUCAGCGUAGUAAUUCUUCUCGCUGUUGGGCCCGGGUGGCCGCUGGCCAGCAACCCCAAAUUUUCUAUGGUUGACCUCGGAUCAGGUAGGGAUACCCGCUGAACUUAAGCAUAUCAAUAAGCGGAGGA
rnacentral:misc_RNA from 1 species